GCUAUAGAAAUACAAGCAAUGAUUCUGUGUGGAACAAAAAAGAAGAAAGUGGGUACUUCAACAAUGGUCAUGUUGUAGAUGGAUGUGUGGCAGGAGGUUGUGUUUGUGUGUGUGUGUGUGUGUGUGUGUGCACGCGCGUGCACUUGUCUUAGCCCAUGGCACUCCAGUAGAGCUCAGAGAACAACUUUUGAGACCCAGUUCUCUUUACCAUCAUAAAUGCUUUGGGGUGGAACUCAGGUCACUGAGUGGUCGCUCUGGCUCAGGAGUGUGUAUUUUAAUACUUUGGGUAUUUUAAUUCUUUUGGGUAUAUUACUACUCUGAGUAUUCUUAGCUAGUCUAAGCUGUGUAGACUUUGGGGCACAUCUGGUUUUGUAUCAGUUUCCACUAAUGUUAGAGAUUAGCUAAUCAUAUUUAUCAUCACUUUAAGAGUAAUUUUUUAUUAACAUUUAGCUGGCGUACAAACUACUGAAUUUCAUUGUGGCUUUCAUACAUAUAAACUUUGUUAUUUUAAAUUUUCUUUUAUAUAUGGCUCAUAACAGAUUGUAUUAUAUUAUCUUAUGAUUUUAAAGCAUUUUGACUUUUUUCUUGAUCUUUGGAUUCUAAUGUAUUUUUCUUAUAUUUUAAAUCCCCUUUUUACUCCUUUUUUUUUUUUUUUUCAACUUUAGCAGAUUUGGGUCACUGGCAUCAAGACUCACUUGUGGUUGAGAUGGUCCCGUGGAAGUUCUGUGCACUUUCGGUUUCCCAGGAGACUAAUGCGCAACCUGUGUUAUCCAGGAUCCCAUGUAGGCAGUUGAGCAAGGCAUUCUUUUGGUUUCUCUGAAACUGGACCUGGCUGGCCUCUAACUUACUUCACUUCUCCUGCCUCUGCCUCAGCUUGCUGAGAUUAGAGCCAUGGGUUAUCUCACUCAAUAGAUUUUAUGUAAAAAUCAACUCUAUCGAAAACUCAUUUCUAACGAUUAGCUGUGCCUACUGUGUGCAGUUUCCUGUGUCUUGAUAUGUGUCUUUAGCCACCAUAUCAGGCCUUCUAAGAGUUAAUGAGAUGUCUUUCUGGCACUUUCUCAUGCCCCUUCCUUAUCUGUGUAGCCCUCACCUCUGCCUCCAGGUAAUCUAUUUUUGUAAGAUUGGUUUGCCUUUUCUAGAAUUCCUCUAUGCUAGGAUUCCUAGUCUACCUGAUAACUUUGAACCAAAAUACUUAUUAUAAGGUUCUUCUCAUCAUUGCACAUAUCAGUAGGUUUUCCUUUUUUACUGUAUGGUGAAUUUCAUAGGGCAAUAUAUCUCAUUUUGAUGGUGUGUUUGCUGAUGAUUACUGACUUAAAAUCUAUUUUUUUAUUCUAAGUAAAGAUUUGUGAACCUUCAUAUGCAAUCUUUUAGGCAUAUGUUUCAUUUUCUAGGGAGUGUACAGAGGGAUGGAGCACAGGGUCGUAUGGGCGCCAUGGGUUCACUUAUGACACUGCCUGUGUCCCCUUAGAUUGUUGGUUAAUUGUUGAGCUGUGAGAAGUGGUGAGGUUUUGGGUUGUACAUUGUCAUAUUGCACUGGAGACAUGUCUCCUCUUUUUGACUUGCCUUUUUAAAUUUUUAACAUCUGAUUUUUGAAAGACAAUAGUUAUGGAUUUAUAAAAUCCAAUGUGUCCAUUAUGGCAUACACAUUUUACGUAUGCCUUCUCUGAACGAUGUCUCUGACUACCCCAAGGACGAAGGUUUGCCGCCGCUCUCUUAUUAACACAUUUCAGGAUUAAGAAAUACGCCAUAGCCUAGUGACCCCUUUUCUUCUGUUACUAAGAGAAGGCGUUCUCAAGGAUGAGGGCAAAAGAAUGAAACAGAAUUCCUAAUUUGU
rnacentral:lncRNA from 1 species